rnacentral:rRNA from 1 species
GACGAAGGGGGCUAGCGUUGUUCGGAAUUACUGGGCGUAAAGCGCGUGUAGGCGGUUGUUCAAGUCAGGUGUGAAAGCCUUGAGCUCAACUUAAGAAAUGCACUUGAUACUGGAUGACUAGAGGACCGGAGAGGAUAGUGGAAUUCCCAGUGUAGUGGUGAAAUACGUAGAGAUUGGGAAGAACACCAGUGGCGAAGGCGGCUAUCUGGACGGUUUCUGACGCUAAGACGCGAAAGCGUGGGGAGCAAACAGG